CCUACGGGCGGCAGCAGUAGGGAAUCUUCCACAAUGGGCGAAAGCCUGAUGGAGCAACGCCGCGUGGGUGAAGAAGGUCUUCGGAUCGUAAAACCCUGUUGUUAGGGAAGAAAGUGCGUGAGAGUAACUGUUCACGUUUCGACGGUAUCUAACCAGAAAGCCACGGCUAACUACGUGCCAGCAGCCGCGGGAAUACGUAGGUGGCAAGCGUUAUCCGGAUUUAUUGGGCGUAAAGGGAACGCAGGCGGUCUUUUAAGUCUGCUGGGAAAGUCGUCGGCUUAAACGGAGUCGUGCAGUGGAAACUGGGAGACGUGAGUGCAGAAGAGGAGAGUGGAAUUCAAGGUGUAGCGGUGAAAUGCGUAGAUAUAUGGAAGAACACCAGUGGCGAAAGCGGCUCUCUGGGCUGUAACUGACGCUGAGGUACGAAAGCGUGGGUAGCAAACAGGAUUAGAUACCCUAGUAGUC
rnacentral:rRNA from 1 species